GAUGAACGCUAGCGGCAGGCCUAACACAUGCAAGUCGAGGGAGAAGCCCUUCGGGGCAGAAACCGGCGCACGGGUGCGUAACGCGUAUGCAACCUACCUUUCACAGGGGGAUAGCCCGAAGAAAUUUGGAUUAAUACCCCAUAAUAUUAUUGGAUGGCAUCAUUUGAUAAUUAAAAUUACGAUGGUGAAAGAUGGGCAUGCGUCCUAUUAGCUAGUUGGAGUGGUAACGGCACCCCAAGGCUACGAUAGGUAGGGGUCCUGAGAGGGAGAUCCCCCACACUGGUACUGAGACAGGGACCAGACUCCUACGGGAGGCAGCAGUGAGGAAUAUUGGUCAAUGGUCGGAAGACUGAACCAGCCAUGCCGCGUGCAGGAAGAAUGCCUUAUGGGUUGUAAACCUGCUUUUAUAUGGGAAGAAUAAGGAG
rnacentral:rRNA from 1 species